CGCGGGGNGGAGCAGCCUGGUAGCUCGUCGGGCUCAUAACCCGAAGGUCGUCGGUUCAAAUCCGGCCCCCGCAACCA
rnacentral:tRNA from 1 species